rnacentral:tRNA from 1 species
GGGGCUAUAGCUCAGCUGGGAGACGCUUGCAUGGCAUGCAAGAGGUCAGCGGUUCGAUCCCGCUUAGCUCCACCA